rnacentral:rRNA from 1 species
GAUGAACGCUGGCGGCGUGCCUAAUACAUGCAAGUCGAGCGAACAGAUAAGGAGCUUGUUCCUUUGACGUUAGCGGCGGACGGGUGAGUAACACGUGGGUAACCUACCUAUAAGACUGGGAUAACUUCGGGAAACCGGAGCUAAUACCGGAUAACAUUUGGAACCGCAUGGUUCUAAAGUGAAAGAUGGUUUUGCUAUCACUUAUAGAUGGACCCGCGCCGUAUUAGCUAGUUGGUAAGGUAACGGCUUACCAAGGCAACGAUACGUAGCCGACCUGAGAGGGUGAUCGGCCACACUGGAACUGAGACACGGUCCAGACUCCUACGGGAGGCAGCAGUAGGGAAUCUUCCGCAAUGGGCGAAAGCCUGACGGAGCAACGCCGCGUGAGUGAUGAAGGGUUUCGGCUCGUAAAACUCUGUUAUUAGGGAAGAACAAACGUGUAAGUAACUGUGCACGUCUUGACGGUACCUAAUCAGAAAGCCACGGCUAACUACGUG